rnacentral:rRNA from 1 species
GAUGAACGCUGGCGGCGUGCCUAAUACAUGCAAGUCGAGCGAACAGAUAAGGAGCUUGCUCCUUUGACGUUAGCGGCGGACGGGUGAGUAACACGUGGGUAACCUACCUAUAAAACUGGAAUAACUCCGGGAAACCGGGGCUAAUGCCGGAUAACAUGUUGAACCGCAUGGUUCUACAGUGAAAGGCGGCUUUGCUGUCACUUAUAGAUGGACCCGCGCCGUAUUAGCUAGUUGGUGAGGUAACGGCUCACCAAGGCAACGAUACGUAGCCGACCUGAGAGGGUGAUCGGCCACACUGGAACUGAGACACGGUCCAGACUCCUACGGGAGGCAGCAGUAGGGAAUCUUCCGCAAUGGGCGAAAGCCUGACGGAGCAACGCCGCGUGAGUGAUGAAGGUCUUCGGAUCGUAAAACUCUGUUAUUAGGGAAGAACAAAUGCGUAAGUAACUGUGCGCGUCUUGACGGUACCUAAUCAGAAAGCCACGGCUAACUACGUG